rnacentral:tRNA from 1 species
CAUUAGAUGGCUGAAAGCAGGCGCUGGUCUCUUAAACCUCCAAAUAGUAACUAGCAACUACUUCUAAUG